UACGUAGGGUGCGAGCGUUGUCCGGAAUUAUUGGGCGUAAAGAGCUCGUAGGCGGUCUGUCGCGUCGAUCGUGAAAACUUGGGGCUUAACCCUGAGCUUGCGGUCGAUACGGGCAUGACUGGAGUUCGGCAGGGGAGACUGGAAUUCCUGGUGUAGCGGGGAAAUGCGCAGAUAUCAGGAGGAACACCGGUGGCGAAGGCGGGUCUCUGGGCCGAUACUGACGCUGAGGAGCGAAAGCGUGGGGAGCGAACAGG
rnacentral:rRNA from 1 species